GGGUUUUCAUCUGGUUUCAAUAUCCACAGAAGUGAAAAAUACAUAGACACAACUUUUUACAUCUGGUCAUAAUAUAACCAGAAGCAAAGCUGAAUGCGGUGGCAAUCCUGUAAUUAUGGUGAGAAUUGUGUAACUCGCAGUACUAUCAUGAUCUCACUCAUCUCUCUCACGCACUGCUCACUCGAUUUCUCUCACUUCUCACUCGAACCCUAGCGGCCUUAUCUCUCUCACGAUCGAUCUCGUCUUCUCUCUCACUAAUCUCACUCGAACUCGGCGGCGUCAUCUCUCUCACCGACCUCACGUACUCGCUCAUCUUUGUCGUCUCUCUGUCUCACUGAAACACGAAUUGAUGGCUGAAUCGGAAAUUCCAAAACCCAGUGAAACAUGAAUUGAAGGUUGAAGCACUCAUAUCUGUCUUCUCUCUCGUUUCAUCUUCUCUAGCCCUAAACCCAGAGAAAAGAAAGCAUACAAGAGUUUUCGCACACGAAGAAAGCUACCUGAGUAUGCAAUUCUUCUUGAACAAAUCUGGUGGAAGCUUUUAGAUUUUGUUGAACUAAAGCAGCUCGAUACCUUUCUUUGACAUUGAGAAACAUGAAACUACGAUUUUGCGUUGGUCUAUAGCUAGGACAAUAGCUACUAAGGACCAGUUGCAGCAAACAGAAGUGGAUUGUGCGUAUUUGAAUAGAUGUUGUGAGAUACUGACAGAAGAGACUAAGAGUUUACAUAAAGAACUUCAAAUUUGGAGCAGUUUCUCUCGGGUUCAUUUUGUUAUUGUACUAGUAAGCAUUCUGCUUAGGUAAGAUGACCUACAUUC